CAUCAAUUAAACACUUUAAAGAUAAAUUGUGAACCUUUCGUGCGGCCAACAAUGUAAGAGUGAAAAUGGAAAAUUCGCCGUCCAGUUCCAUAGAGAAGCAAAUCGAUCAUUUUCUGGAGCAUUUCAAACGCAGUGCAUCCAAGGCCAUCGACACGGAGUGGGGCAGCGGCUCAGAUAUCAACAAUGGACCGUCUAGCAGCAGCCCGCAAAGGCAGCCCCCACUGCAGCGCCUGCUGCAGCGCACCAAGAGCAGAUCCAGCUGCCUAGACGUCUCAGAGCUGUCGGAUAAUGAUGUGGAGAGUGCACUGGCCGAGUCCCAGGCGAUUGUGAUGAGCGCAUCGCAAACGCAGCAGCGGCAACAGCAGCUGAUCAGCCAGCACAUGAUCGAGUCCCAGAUAUCGGUGAGCAGUGGGGCAUCCAUACAGACGGCGAUAUUCCAGUCGCUCAGCAACUCGCCGGCGCACACGAAUCGCAGCUCAGGACUGCUGCAGCACACCACGUCGACGAUCAGCAGCAACUCGACGAGCUCAGUCAAUUCACAGGGCGUGGCCUAUGCCGCUGAGGCGAUCGGUGCGCAUAAGCCCGCCGAGCAGAUCAACUCGCUACUGGAGCACAUCAGUCCGGCUCAAGCGGCGGCGGCCAUGAGUGGCGAGGGUGUGCUCAACAUAGCCGAUGUGGCGGAUCUGCUGCAUCCGCAGCACGCAGUGAUCACCGGCGGUCGCUCCCAGGAGGGCUGUCCGCUGAUCAUCUUUCCGGACAACAACAAUUUCAAUUCGAUCGAGGAAGCCGACUAUCAGAAGCUCAUUUUGUACCUCAGCUCAGUGCCAUCCCUACAGGAUGCUGAUCUGGGCUUCCAUUUGAUUAUUGAUCGACGCAAGGAUCGCUGGACCUCAGUCAAGACAGCCUUGCAGCGCAUAUCGAUCUAUUUUCCCGGUAUUAUACAUGUGGUCUAUGUGCUGCGUCCGUCGGGACUCUUUCAGAAGGCCAUCUCGGAGGUGAGCUCCAAAUUUUCAUCCAAAGACGAAUAUCGCUUUCGGCUAAUUGUGUGCUCGACCCUGAGCGAUCUGCAUGAGUUUGUGGACCCAAGUCAAUUGACACCCGAUAUGGGUGGCACUCUAAUAUAUUCACAUCACGAGUGGAUACAGCAGAGGAUUUCACUGGAAAAGUUCUCAAGCCUGACGCAUCAAGUCUCCGCCGAAUUGGAUGUCUUUAUACAAGCCAUACAUGACACAGAGUUUCCCAACUCCGUGGAGGCAACCAAAAAGCUAUUGGAGGAUCAGGGCAUCGACUAUGCGCGUCUAAAGGAUGAAAUCCUGGCUGCUGCCAAGCAUGGCGAAACGCUGCUGGAUAAAAUCAAAUCGAACGAGGAGCUCAAGGAGUUCUCGGAGCGCACUGGCAAUGUCAGCGCCAUUGAGAGACUGCUGAUCCAACUGGAGGAAACUGAGCGUCGCUUCGACGAGUUCUGGCGCACCCAUCGUAACCGGCUGGAGCAAUGCCUGCUGCUGCGCAUGUUCGAGCAGGACUUCCGAGAGCUGCAGAGCAUCUUUGAUGGCCACCUCAAGACUGUGGCGGACAUGACGGAGAUUGGCGAGAGCGUGGAGCGCGUUGCAACGCUCGUGCAGGAGACGGAAGACUUCUGCAAACUAAUCAAGGCGGAUGUCGAGCGGGCCGAGGAGGCGAUACAAGCGGGACAACAGCUGAUUGGCUCACGCGGCGUCUACCCCUGGGAGAUUGUCCAGCCCAAGUGCGAUGAGCUGCAGCGCGUCUGCGACAUCAUCAACAUGCGGCUGACCAAACGGCUUGAGAUUCUGGCCAAGAACAGCGAACUAAUGGAGAGAGUUGAAAAGGCUAAUCAAUGGUGUGCCAAUGGCGUGGAGCUCCUGGCCUCGCAGCGCAUCGAGAAGUGCUCCGUGUCGGCCGAUCUAGCCGAGCAGAGCCUGCACGAAAUACAGGCCUUCAUAGCAUCCGCUUCAGAUUUCAAAUUAUCUAGUCCAAGUGAAUUCAAGAAAAUCUUUCUGGAUAGCACGACACCGGAGACCAAAGCACUCGUAUCUCAGGUUCUGCAGCGCAUCGAUGACGUGUCCUUGAUGUGCGACAAGCGCAUUGCGAGCCUCAAGAAGCUGGCGCUGAAGCCGCCGCGUCCUGUGCAACAGGUGACGCCGGAGCCGGCCGUGCCGCUGCAGCCGCCAGGUGGGGCGCCUCACCUGUUGCGACGUAAACAAAAUAAGACUGGUAUACAUGAGUUACGACCCAGAUCCAUGGACGGUGUCAUUGACUCGGGCGUUUCGUUAAAUGGCGACACCGGCUCGAGUCCCGACAAUGGCGAACACCUGCAAAAUCAACAGGAUGCUGAGGCGAGGAAACUGAAACGAGGUCACGUGCUCACUGAGCUGCUGGAGACGGAGCGCAUCUAUGUGAAUGAGAUGAGCUCGAUUCUAAAGGGCUACUUUGACCAAAUGCAAUCGGACGAGCUAAUGCAUCUGGUUCCGGCCAGUCUGCAGGGCAAAGAAGAAAUACUUUUUGGCAAUCUGCAUGAGCUCUACACAUUUCACAACGAGAUCUUUCUGAAGGACCUGGAGAACUGCAUUUCGACCACAGAGCUGGUGGCGCUGUGUUUUGUGCAAAGGCGUGACACCUUCUAUCGGCUGUACUCGUUCUAUUGCCAGAACAUUCCGCGCUCGGACCGUCUGCGUGAGACGCUCGUUGAUACCCACCUAUUCCUGCAGGAGUGCCAGAAGAGAUUGGGCCACAAGCUGCCGCUGGCCGCGUACCUGCUGAAGCCCGUGCAGCGCAUCACCAAGUACCAGCUGCUGCUGAAGGAUCUGCUGCGCUUCAGCGACAGCGGCAGCUGCACCAAGGAGCUGCAGAAGGCGCUCGACUGCAUGCUGAUUGUGCUGAAGUGCGUCAACGAUUCCAUGCACCAAGUGGCUAUCACUGGAUUCCCAACCGAUCUGGCGCAGCAGGGCGAGCUGCUGCUGCAGGACUCGUUUCAGGUGUGGACCGAGUCGAAGAAGGACAUCCGGCUGCGCAUCAAGCCACAGCAGCGGCACAUCUUUCUGUACCAGAAGUCGCUGCUCUUCUGCAAGCAAACCUCCAAAGCGGGUCACAACAAGAGUACCUACCAGUUCAAGCAUCACGUCAAGAUGUCACAAAUUGGUCUGACGGAGUCCGUGCGGGGCGAUGCGAAGCGCUUCGAGGUCUGGCUGCAGGGUCGUCAGGAGGUGCACACGCUGCAGGCGCCUUCGCUGGAGGUCAAGAACAAGUGGGUGGCAGAGAUUAAGCGGGUGCUGCUCAACCAGCUCGAGGAACUGAAGGGCGAGAAGAUCAAACAGUAUGGCCUAAAUCAUCGCGGGCUCAAGCAAACCACGUCGUGGGACACGCCCAAUAUUAUACUGGGCACACCGGGUCGAACGAUCAGCUGCGAUGCAUCCUCCGAGUCCUCCAAUCGCAACUCCAACUGCAGCAGCGAGGAGAACGGCCCGGCGGCCGCUGCCUGCGGCAACUCGAGCGGCGGCGGCGGCAUGGCCGACAGGGAUCAUCCCGAGGGCUGUGGCUGGAGCUCGGACUAUUCGAACAGCGAGGACGAGAUCUCGGUGAACGAGGACAACAGCACACCGGGCUUUCUGGAUCUGCUGACGCAUUGGGCGUCCUAUAAUACCGAUGGAGCUGCGUCCUCCACGUCCUUUGCGCGGAACACCAAAUCCAACUCCAAAUUUUAUGUUUCCGUUGACCACUGAGGUGUGCUCCAUGGUCCAUCCGCAACCGCCCACCAAGUAUACGUAUUGUAGCCGUAGCUGCUAGGGCAGUAAAUUCAUUGCCCUGGCUGACUAUACGGCUAUGGGUCACUCGGAAGUUUCGAUGCGAGAAGGCGAAGCUAUCGAGCUAUUA